rnacentral:rRNA from 1 species
UACGGAAGGGGCAAGCGUUGUUCGGAAUCAUUGGGCGUAAAGGGCGCGUAGGUGGUUCUGUAUGUCUACCGUGAAAGCAUACAGCUCAACCGUAUUUUGUCGGUAGAAACUGCAGGACUUGAGGCUGGGAGGGGCUGGUGGAAUUCCCUGUGUAGCGGUGAAAUGCGUAGAGAUGGGGGAGAACACUCGUGGCGAAGGCGGCCAGCUAGACCAGUUCUGACACUGAGGCGCGACAGCGUGGGGAGCAAACAGG